GCUUGCUUCGGCAGCGCAUGUACUAAAGUUGGAAUGGUACGGGAAAAACUAGCAUGGUCCCUGCGCCAAGAUGACACGCAAAUUCAUGGAGCGUUCCAUGUUUUG